GCAGUGCAGGACGCACUCAUCAGGAUGAUGCGCUCAGGAAUGUUGGGAUAACGAAGAGCGGCUGGAAUGGAAAUGGCUAUGGAUGGGAGCCGGAAAAGGAAAGGGAUACGCUCAGGAGUUGAGCAGGCGCAGGAUUAACCGGGACGUUGUGAGCCGAAACGGAUUUGAAACAUGAUUCCUUCUGCUGAAGGUAUGAAAUAAGGCGACAGCUUGAGCUGUCGCCUUUUUUCUUUGUCUGGUU
rnacentral:sRNA from 1 species